UAAGGAAUAUUGGACAAUGGGCGCAAGCCUGAUCCAGCCAUGCCGCGUGAGUGACGAAGGCCUUAGGGUUGUAAAGCUCUUUCGUCUGUGAGGAUAAUGACCGUAGCAGAAGAAGAAGCCCCGGCUAAAUUCGUGCCAGCAGCCGCGGUAAUACGAAUGGGGCAAGCGUUGUUCGGAAUCACUGGGCGUAAAGCGUACGUAGGCGGUUAUGCAAGUCAGAAGUGAAAUCCCAGGGCUCAACCUUGGAAUUGCUUUUGAAACUGCAUAGCUAGAGUCCCGGAGAGGUUGGCGGAAUUCCGAGUGUAGAGGUGAAAUUCGCAGAUAUUCGGAGGAACACCAGUGGCGUAGGCGGCCAACUGGACGGGAACUGACGCUGAGGUACGAAAGCGUGGGGAGCAAA
rnacentral:rRNA from 1 species